AAACACUUUUGCUCUCCUGUCCCCUCGGCCAUGUCUUCCCAGCAGCAGCAGAAGAGGGUUCCUGACCAGGACGGCGAGCACGCCAACGGCGCCAAGAGGUCCAGGGCGCUGGCCAUACCCAACGGCGAGGUGAAGCAGGAGCAGCGCGGGCAGGGAGAAGAAGAGGCAGGCCAAGGCGAGCAGGGAGAGGGAGCUUUGGUUGCGGUGGAGCAAGCCAUGGAGGAGCCGCAGAUCAACAUCCGGAUGGCCGUGUCUCAUCUCCACUGCCAUGCCUGCGUCCUGCCCCUCAAACCCCCAACCUUCGAGUGCGAGGCCGGCCACGUCGUGUGCCGCGCCUGUCGUGGCAGCCACGUCCAGGCCUGCGCCGGCGCCGGCACCUAUGUCUCCUGCGCCAAGCUGGACGGGAUCGUGCGCGACGCCAAGGUGGCGUGCGCCUACGAGGCGUUCGGCUGCACGAGCUGGGUCGUCUACUACGAGGCGCCGGACCACCACCGCUCCUGCCGGUUCGCGCCCUGCUCCUGCCCGGCCCCUGGCUGUGGGCACUUCACCUCGCCGGCGAGGCUGGUCGAGCACUUCUUCAGCCACCACGCCUGGAACGUCACCGAGGUCGACUACGCGAAGCCGUGCAAGCUCGCCGUCCCGGGCCCCGAGGACAAGCUGGUCCUGGUGGGCAAGGCGGACGGGUCCGUGUUCCUCGUGUCUCCGUGCGCCUUCGGCGCGGCCACGGCGGCCGUGUCGCUGGUGUGCGUGAGGGCGUGCGGCGACGUGGCUGCGGGGGCACCCCAGUACACGUGUAACCUCUGGGCGGAGGUCGCGGGCAACGCCCUGCUGCUCACGUCUGUGGUGGCCAGCAGCGACCUGGUUGGCGGCUUCCCAGCGACCGACAAGGUCAUGUUCCUGCCACUGCCGCAGCUGCUGUACGACGAGUCCGGCGAGCCGCCUGCCCUCAUGGUCCGCAUCGACAAAGUCGGCGCGUCCACUAUCAGGUCAAGGUCCCCGUGUGCCACUCCGCCGUCGAGCCUGCCCAGGAGGAUGCUGCAGUAAUGAGGAUCGGAAACUAGGCACUAAUUAAUUAGCUUGGUUAGCAGUAAUGCAUACUCCUUCAAUUUUGCAGAGUGUUCGUAGUAGCUGCCUAGCUGGAUGUGGUGGACUGGUGGUUAGUGGUGAGGAUCAUCAGAAUGACAAGAGCAUGGAUUAGUGUGUUCGUGGUAGCUGGAUGUGGUGGUUAGUGGUGAGGUUCAUCAGAAUGUCAAGAGCAUGGAUUAGAGUUUAGUACUACUAGUUCUCAGCAUUUUACUUGGUGUCUAAUUCUAGUUUGGUACUUGAAUGCAAGUAGCUCUACUUAUUUAUGCAACCUAUAAUUCCUCCAAGAUUUGUUCCUUCACAGUUCGUAUUUUGACAUCAAGUGAACUAUGAUCAAAAUUCAAAAGGGUAAUGGCAAUAUCAGACAAUUAGACAUCUUGUAAUCUGUGUGCAAAUAGAUUGGGAUCAUCUGUGCAAGGACAGGGGCGCUGGAGACAGGUUGUACAUUGUAGUCUUGCUGGCACUGCAAGUCUUUGCAAUGGCUCUAUUAUCUUCACCUGGCCCUGGCUGUUGAUCAUGAGAUGUAUGGCUGGCCAGCGUCACUGUGUCAGUGAUGCCUUGCCUUUGAGAUGUAUUGUAGGCAGUAGGCCCGUAUCCUGUUGUCUCGUGCCGAGUUCAGAGUUCUUCUGCAGCCAUGUCUCAUUGGUUUGAAAUUUCUACCUCUGUCGACAAAAGAAAUUUCUAUCAGGUUCAAAUCUUGUGUAUUUCCCUUUUUUAUUAGUGAUUGAUGGAUGCUGUGGACUGAAUCUUUUGUUGUUUGGUAGAAGUACUGCUCUGUGAAACUGAUCAAUACAUUAAUUAGUUUUGUGAAAUUGAUGAUAGAGGAAGACUUUGUCACUCUUACUUGUUACAAGCUAUAUUUCAAUUUGCUGAACAUGGUUUAUCGAAAAAAAUGCAGUGUGUUUUAUUAAAACAAACUCUGUAGGUACAGGUAAUACUUUUUUUUGCAAUAUUUGCAGAAUAGCUGUGAAGUGCAUAAUAUCAGCCGGGUGAGGUCAUGAUUAAUGCAGAUUAUAUUCUAUUCUAUUUUUAUAAUUCAUUUUCAUAAAUUACCUAUCAUGCACAUAAUGGCUUGCUGAUGGUAUCUAAGACACUAAGACUAAGAAGAAUUUCCUCUGCUUAGUGCUGGUUGUAACUGCAUAUUUUACUAUUUGAGUAGUCUUUCCAGUGAGUUUCCUGUUCAGUUCCUUUUACACAUAGCUUGUUAUUCCGUCAGUUUUCUGGGCAAACUUUUUGCUUGCGAUCAGCAUCGGACUGGCCCUUCUUUUAACUGCUAGACAAGCUAAAGAAACCAAAGAGAAUUGGAAGACAACAUACAGGAUGUUGUAUUGAUUAAUACUAAUUAAAUAUGCUGUAGCACCAGUCAUAUGACAACGGAUUGUUCUCUUGUACAUCUGAAAAAUGAAUAAUGGUCGGUUUGCUCAUUGCAGCAACCUCAUAAAUAGUUGCUCCUAAAACAUGCUAUUUUGGCUAUUAAGAUAGACAAGCUGUUAAACUCCUGUGUUGUCUUGAUUGGUGUGUGUCUGGAUUAUUUGGAUUGUCAAUCUUCAGCUGUAGUUCUUGGAGACGUGUCAGUUUGUAUUUGUAAGUGUCUUUGAAUAAUUAUCCUAUAUAUUCUGAAAUGUAGAGUGUCUUCGAAUAAAUGCCCUAUUUCUUGAUGUUGGAUUUUUUUCGUUGCCAGUAGUAGUACUAAUUACUAAAGGAUAUUGCUCAGGUUUUUGAAUAAUUACUAAGAACUCUGUUUUUUAACUUUCCAGGUUAGAAGAAAGAAGAUGCAAGAAGGAGAAGCUGCAAAUUGCAAGAGUCAACACCACAGCUCUUUUUCUGAAAAAAAAUAUAUUUAACAGAAGAGGAAAUGGCUAAGCACAUCAAUCCAUAUGUCAUGCUCAUAUAUGCACUGUCCAAGUUAAUACUAGUAUCUGUUGUAUCUAGGAGUAGUACUGUCUACUUAUGUAUGCUGAUCAAUCAAGAGCUUAUACUCAGUUAUUGGGUGUUAUGUUAUUGAGUUUUUAUAUGCUGACCCCUUCUUGUUAUGCUCUGUUAUUGAGUGUUAUGUGCUAUCAUAAUGUACACUCAAUUACUCAUAUAUUUGGUUUAAAGCAAAUAAUAUCCAUGUUAACAAUUUGGCUUUUUCCUUCUACCUCUAGGCUUUUUUCCCAUCCUCUUCCUUUAUGCCAAUUCUUUUUAGCAUUACAAUAGUUUGGUUCCUCCUUAUGUGCCAUUUCCACCUAGCAAAUACUAGUAGCCUUGUUGUAGAGAGUAUAGCGUAUAGCUUGCAGAAUCCUCAUACAGGAUCUUGAGUUGUUUUUCAGUUCUCUGAAAAUUUGAAAAUUUUUUGGUUUCAGAGAACUGGAGACUACAUAAUUUUAUGUACUGCAUGCUGAAAUAAAGCCAUAUACUGACAUACUAGGAAGCAAUUUGCCUUGUGAUUUGUGAGGGCUGUGAUGUGACGCAUUUUUUGUCCUUUCUAAAUUGUUGGGAGUCAAACUCGACAAUAAUCUGAUAGUAUCAAUGAAUUCAGUAGUUGUCUUCAUUUACACUGCUUUGUUAGGUGAGCAUUACCAGUGAUUACAUUAGUGAUAGCUAGUUUCUUUUUCUUGUUUACAAUAAUCUUGCAUACUGUUAUAAUUGCUCGAUCUAUCAUACUGAUUCCUGUCUCCUGGUUGGUGAUUGAGCUCUUGGUCGGCAGGUACUUCUCCCCUACAGCAGUAGCGGAUAAAAUCACUUGAAGUGAGCAUCUUCCUCCACAUAUCCACUGAUCUUAUGCAUUUAUUAGUUAUAUUACCUUUGAUUUCUGGUAAAUUGUUGGUCUUGCUCGCCUUGUUACCAUAAUUAUUUUGGUUGCCCAGCCAUGGAAGUAGAAUAAAUCUGGGAGCAAUGGGUAAUCUUCAAAUUAUCCGUUGAAAUUGUUCUGUUCUUUCUGUGAUGGCAAGGAUGCAUAUUGGGGAAAAAAUGAUAUAUGGCAUUAUAUAAACUGAACCUUUAUAGUUGCUGCAAUAGCCCGUGCAUAUGUUCUCUGGCUUGCUUUGGCUGGAGCAAUUUAUGAGUGAUGUUUCUGUAGCUGGCUUGUUUGCCGUGUGGACACAACACAGAGAUGUCGUUCUGCUUAGUAAUCUUGGCAAUUCUUCUCUCCCUCCUACCUCUAUAGAAAAGAUUAACAAAAAAAGUCCCUUUGAUUGUUCACAGAAUCCUAGUUUGUCCAAUGUCCAUUAGAUAUUUCUUUUGGCUGCUUCUGUUAUGCAGGAUACAAAAUCUUAGGCUUGUGAAUUUGUGAUGGAUGAUUCAGAUCAGAUACUAUACUUCUGGACUGAUAUCUCUGAACUGAAACAAGUAACCUGCAGAUACAUGGAGAUGAGGUUUUGAAUUGUCGUCUGACAGAAGGAAACAAGGUUGCAAUUUAUGCUACUGUUAGAUUCUAAGACAAACGAAGAUGGAUAUUUAACUUUGGCCAUGAGCAUACUUGUUUGCAACUUUUAAGUAAUCUGUUAAAUUGAUCGUGUAGAGUUUUCUUAUUAGCUAUUGAAAUGCACUCAUACAAACAGUACUAUGUUCAUGUAUGGACAAGUUUUUUUUUAAAAAAAAAAACAGAUUUUUCAGAAUUCAGAGUUAGUACUAUGUUCAUGUAUCAGAGUGUCAAGAGAUGGAUUAGAGUUAAGUACUGCUAGUUCUCAGCAUUUUACUUGGUGUCUGUAAUUCCUCCAAGAUUUGUGCUCCUGUGAAAUUGGUUCGUGCUUUC